CUUGUCAUACGCUUUUAUGUAAGCAUGUGCUAUGGCUCGAACCCGUGGUAUAACUGAUUUCCGAUAGGAUUCAUGCACUUGGAGCCUUGGAUGUGUAUGGAACGUCAUGUAUGCCUUAAGCUGAUUAUAAUUGAUUUUGCUGUGCAUUCGACGAGCUCUGAUUGGAAGCGUUGUGGAAGAUUGUCAUGUAUCUUGGAGGUGAGAAUGUGAGAUUAUACGGCGGGUCCUACUCUAAUGAUACCUUGAGAGCUUCUCAUUCCAAGUAGUUGAGCGGGUGGGCGCGUGGACCCGGGUCAGUUGGAGAAUGCUUAAGAUUUGGACUUGUGGAAUCUGACCCAGGUCAAUCUUUUCUACCUUAAUGUUCUUAAAUUCUUAUUAGAGGUGGGGAUGGGGCGGGUCGUACAACUCAUGUGUUUGGCUGCCAGCGGGGUUGUUAUGUGCUUAAACGGGCCACGUAAAUUUCGUGGUGUGCCAAUCUUUCAACAAGGUCUAUACACGACCUGACUCACAUGUCAUGUUAUAUUGGUGGAGUGACGGUCCCCUUUCAAUAACUCAGAUUUUUGCUUUUUGGUUAUUUAUAACAGUUCAACGCUAAAUUGUAUUGGCCCUUCGAGCCAUGUCGGGCUUGUGAUGGGCUCAUUUUGUCUCGGUCCAAGAUGGCGCAUGUGCCAAUAUGGCACAUACAUAUUUACUUAUCAUUCAAAAGUUUUUAGCAAGUUUACUUGCAUCAUUAGUCUAUGCAGGGUAUUUUGAUUAUACCACUUCAUUUCUUGACUUGUAUUUAUGGUCAAGUUUAUCUGUCUUUUUUCAACUUGUGCAUUAUGAGGAUUACUUAUAUAUUACGGGUUAAGCUUGGUA